ensembl:lncRNA
AUGAAAAAAAACAUUUUAACAUUAACACGGAACGUUUUAUUUAAUCGAAAAUUCUCCAACAUAAUUCCCAAAAAAUAUGAAUUCCGACUCGUCCAAAAAAACUAUUAUAUUACUACCGAUAGUAGUACAGAAAACGUAGAUUUUAAAAUCAAGAACAUAAACUCGUUAAAAUUAAAAAGUAUUAAAAAGAAUAAAAACAGUUUGAAAGAUAAUACUAACAAUACUAACACCCACAACACCAACAGUAAUCACAAUUAUAACAGAGAUGAUGUAUACAUUUUAAAUGGAAAAAUACUAUAUUCACAAAAAAAUAAAAUAGAAAAAAAUGAAUUAAAAAUAAAAACUGCCAUUAAAAAAAUAAAAAAUGUAGACAACGAAAAUAAAUUAUCAAAUAAGAAGUUAAGUGGUAAUUUAAAAAAAAAUAAUUUUACAAAAUUGUUAGAUAAGCAAAUUAAAUCAAGUGGCAGUAUAAACAUAGCACCGAGCAAAUACGAUUAUUAUAAUAUAAACAAAGAGACUGUGGAGACGGGUAGUGGAAAUAAUACUACCGGAACCACUAACACUAACAAUGAUAAAAUUAAUACUAAUACAGCCGAUAAAAUAAAAGGUGACAAAGACGAAACUGCUUUCGUUAUACCCAGUAUAAAUAACUUAAAUGGUAUAUGUAAUGAUAAAAAAGUAGAUAUACGUUUUUUUAAUUUAAGCAAAGAGAAUAAUGAAAAAUUAAAUAAUCAUACUAUGAUAAAUGAAACACACAUAAAUUUUACUAAAGAAACGGAUAAAAAAAAAGAUAAUAAUGAAAUAGGAGGUGCGAAUAAAAAAAUUGAUCAUAAAGAAGAAGACACAGAAAAAAAACAACAAAAUGGUAGUAAGCAAAGUAGUACUAAUAUAUCAAGUAAUAAACAGGAUAAUUCUACUAUUUCAAAUGGUUCAAAUCACAUAUCCCAUAAUACUCACUCAAACAUAAACGACAAUACUAAUAAUAAAAAAAAUGAUGAUAAAGACAAUAAAGAGAAAGAUAGUUGUAUUAAACAAAAUAUAUACGAAAUGAUUGAAGAGAUUAAAACAGAUAAUGAAAAAAAAGAAAUAGAGAAAUUUUUAAAUUCUUUUUUAUUUUAUAAAAGUAAGCAAUCUACGAGUUUAUUAGGAAAUUGUGUAAGUUUUUAUUUUUGUAAUAUGCUAAGUGAAGAAUUAAAAAAUCUAAAAUAUAUUUAUUAUGAUGGAGCAAAAGUAUGUAUAGAUACAUUUUUUAAUACUUUAAGAGAAUUAGAUGAACAUCAAUUAUUUAGAAUAGCAAAUAUCUAUUUAGCUGAUUAUUUUUUAAAAAUAUUUCGAAUUCUAAAAAUGUAUAAUUUAAAUUUUCAUUUUGAUAAUAUAAUAAUAGAAAAUGUGAGAUUAUUAAAUAUAUAUAAUAUAUUGGGACUAAUUAGAAAUGCAGGAAAAAAAACAAAAACAAAAGAAAAACUAAAAAAGUUUUUAUAUCAGCAUAUAUUCGUAGAUAAUAAAGAUCUUAUUGAAUUAAAAAAUAAUAGUAAAAUGGAAUUUGUAUCAAAUAUAAUUAAAAAUGGAGUAGUUACACGUAUGCAUAUAUUAAUAACUAUGUCAUAUCAUAUGAAUAUCUAUAAUACUAUUUUAUCUAAAUAUAUUACAAAAACAAAAUUUAAAAAUGUACAAAUGGAACUUAUAUUAGAAAAUCAAUUAGAAAAUCCUUUGUUUUCUUUAAAUACCUCGGAUACUAUAAACUUAAAGUGUUCAGGUUGGUACUUGGUUGACGUUAAUCAGAUAUUAAAUGGAAACCUACCUUAUGAAUAA